UACGGAGGGGGCUAGCGUUGUUCGGAAUUACUGGGCGUAAAGCGCACGUAGGCGGCUUUGUAAGUUAGAGGUGAAAGCCCGGGGCUCAACUCCGGAAUUGCCUUUAAGACUGCAUCGCUCGAAUUGUGGAGAGGUAAGUGGAAUUCCGAGUGUAGAGGUGAAAUUCGUAGAUAUUCGGAAGAACACCAGUGGCGAAGGCGACUUACUGGACACAGUAUU
rnacentral:rRNA from 1 species